CCUGUGUAAGGCCAGGUAUUCUGACUGGUUGUCAGACUCCCAUGGAGCCAUGCAGAGGUAACUUGUAGGUUGUCUUGAGUCCCAGGCUUGGUUGAAUCUUGCUGGGUGAUGAUGUAAUGAAGAGGGUUAACUGGCUGCCAGAAAGGAUGGGUUAUUCACUAGGUCAUUUUUUAUUCUCUUUAUCCAGGAAUAUAUAAAGAAAACUAUGAUGGAGAAAAGCACAUAGGUCAUGCUGUGCUGAUUGUGGGUUAUAACCAUUCCAGCAAGGGCAAUGGCUAUUGGAUUGUAAAGAACAGCUGGUCCACUCUUUGGGGCGAGAAAGGUUACAUGCGCUUAGCCAAAGGAUCAAAUGAAUGCAACAUCGCCGAUGACGCCGUCUUUCCUCUCCCAGAUCCAAAGAAAGGAAUGUAAUUUCUUCUUUCAGCAUAAGGAUUCUUUGAAAUGCAGAGCUAAUAGUUACCAAUGAAUGACCUGCUGCUUCUGAAGUUUCUGGAAGAAAAAAAAAUGCUAAUAAAUGCUUUGGGGCAACGCUACUCAGAUCUUACCUAGCACACGCUGUUCUAUUAUGCACAUGUGUUUGUUAGAGACAUUGGUAUUGCUAUAAAUGUGGCCUAUUUCCCCAGGGAAUGUCAGAAUUCCUGAUGCAUCUAGCACUGUAAAAAAAGGCCAGAAAAUAUGCAUUAUAAAUAUGUAUUAAUUUCAUACACAUCUGGUUCAAGAUACGUUGAGAUGACACUUUUUAUUCGGCGCAGUGCAUAGAAAUGUGAUCUCAGGACUACAUCACAGCACAUCACCUAUUGAGAGCCCUCAGUUCUCCAAUUGGCAUGCCUAUUACACACUUUUGGAAAACAAAGCACAUAAUCAAUAGUAAUAGGUAAAAAGCAACAAUGUAUUCACACCCAUGAUAAAGGAUGCUACUUCCAGAAGGUGGGUUCAUUCCUACAAUAUUACAGCCCUCACCCCUCUGUCCCUAAUCAGUAAGGCUAAUAGUUAAGUGUGCAAAGCUUU
rnacentral:lncRNA from 1 species